rnacentral:rRNA from 1 species
AUUGAACGCUGGCGGCAUGCUUUACACAUGCAAGUCGAACGGCAGCACGGACUUCGGUCUGGUGGCGAGUGGCGAACGGGUGAGUAAUACAUCGGAACGUACCCAGUAAUGGGGGAUAACUAUCCGAAAGGAUAGCUAAUACCGCAUACGCCCUACGGGGGAAAGCGGGGGAUCGCAAGACCUCUUGUUAUUGGAGCGGCCGAUGGCUGAUUAGCUAGUUAGUGGGGUAAAGGCCUACCAAGGCAACGAUCAGUAGCGGGUCUUAGAGGACGAUCCGCCACACUGGAACUGAGACACGGUCCAGACUCCUACGGGAGGCAGCAGUGGGGAAUCUUGGACAAUGGGCGCAAGCCUGAUCCAGCAAUGCCGCGUGCGUGAAGAAGGCCUUCGGGUUGUAAAGCGCUUUUGUCAGGGAGCAAAUCCUUGUGGCUAAUACCCACCGGGGAUGAGAGUACCUGAAGAAUAAGGACCGGCUAACUACGUGCCAGCCGCCGCCGUAAGAC